ACCAGCAUAGUGAAGUGGUUUAAUCACUGGACUACAACUCUGGAGACCAGGGUUUAAAUCCCUGUGCAGCCA